GAAGCUUCAUAGGCUUAGCGGGCUACUAUCGACGGUUUGUGGAGGGUUUUUCGAAGAUUGUGACUCCGCUUACCCGUCUGACGCAGAAGGGCGUCAAGUUUUUUUGGAGCGACGAAUGUGACCGAAGCUUCAAUGAGUUGAAGAGAAGGUUAACGUCGGCUCCGAUACUCGCCUUACCGGUGCAGGGCGAGGACUUUGCGGUCUAUAGUGAUGCAUCCUAUCUGGGUUUGGGGUGUGUCCUGAUGCAAGGCGGGAGAGUGAUAGCUUAUGCGUCCCGUCAGUUAAAGGACCAUGAGAAGAAUUAUCCCAUUCAUGACUUGGAGUUGGCGGCGGUGAUCUUUGCGCUGAAGCUGUGGAGGCACUACCUAUAUGGUGCGCACUGCGAGAUCUACACCGACCACAAAAGUCUGAAAUAUCUAUUUACCCAGAAGGAGUUGAAUAUGCGUCAACGGCGGUGGUUGGAACUGUUAAAGGAUUACGAUGUUGAUAUCCUCUACCACCCCGGCAAGGCAAAUGUGGUCGCGGAUGCGCUUAGCAGAAAGUCGGCGAAGAACCUCGCUUUUGAUGUUACCCAACAAACACCCUUAUGGCUGGAUAUGGAGCGGCUGGACCUAGAAGUGGUCGCUCCCGAGGUCCCGACUCAGUUGAUGGUACUCGUUGUUCAACCGACCUUGUUGGAGAGGAUCAAGAACUUGCAAUCUGCGGAUCCAAGUCUCCAAAAGGUGCGGCGUAAUAUCGAGGAAGGUCAAGGCGGCGAUUUCAGUGUGGACGCCGGUGGCGCGCUUCGGUUUCAAAACCGGUGGUGUGUGCUCGAAAGUGAAGAGCUUCGCGAGCUGAUUUUGCAGGAAGCCCACCGGUCUCCAUAUGCUAAUCACCCGGGUGGCACCAAGAUGUAUCAUGAGUUGAGAGCACUCUAUUGGUGGUCGGGGAUGAAAGUUGAUAUUGGGCGCUUCGUGGCGAAGUGUUUGACUUGUCAGCAAGUGAAAGCGGAGUGCCGGUUUCCAGUGAGGACCGGUCCCUUACUGCGAAAAUGCCCAGUGAGGACUGCUGCAGAGGAUGAAAAGUUGAGGGGGCUAUUUGCAAAGUUGCCUAUAUGAGAGGUGGGGGACCCCUCUCUCCCUCUCAUUUGCUAUCUCCCUCUCACACUCUUUCCCUCUCUCUUUCUAGAAUGAAAGGAAAAGAAGAAGAGAAGGGAAAGAAGGAAAAGAAGAGAAAGAGGAAGGAGAAGACCAAGGAGAAAAAGAGGAUCAUCGUUUUCCCUCUCUCCUUCAAGCUAGAGCAAGCUUGGAGCUUGGUAUAGAGGUAAGUGAAAGUUUUGAGGAGCCCAAGGAUCUAUUUAGAUUGUAUCUAUCACCUAGAGAGGGGUGAAUAGGUGUACCGGCCAAAAACCACAAAUCUCGAUGCAAUAAAAAUAAAUGCGGAAAAUAAAAAGCACACCGAGAUUUACGUGGGAAAACUCCAACUUGGAGAAAAACCCACGGGACCAACACGCGAAAAAAUAAUUCACUAAGAGAAAAGAUUACAAGGUGAUUACCGACUCCACGGACUCAACCUCUCUUAACCUCCUAUGAAUCUCGCGCNAGCACCCCCGCCUCAUCAUGGAGGGGCCCCAUAUGUUCCCGUAUCAGUGGGACGCGCACUGAUGCCGCGUCAACCGGAGGUGACUCGAUCAGCGCCGAGCGGACGGGUAUUCGCCGCUCAGGCCCAAGCCGAGGAGUCUGCCCAAGCCGAUGAGCCUAAUGUUGUGGCAGGUAUGGUUUUGAUUAACGGAGUUCGCUCCAGGGCUAUGUUUGAUACAGGCACCACGCAUUUGUUCAUUAGUAGAGCAUUUGCACGCAUGCAUGACAUACACAUAGAAGCAAGUGGCAAGUGGUGAGUUGAAGGCCCUGAGUCGUCAUUCAAUACCUACACGGAGUGCUCGUCGUGCCCAGUACAAGUAGGCGACUGGAUAAUGCCCAUCCGGAUGUUGGAACUUAAUAAACUGGAGGCGUAUGACGUCAUUUUGGGCAUGGACUGGCUCUCGAAGUACUACGCCACGAUCGAUUGUAAGAAUAAAUUGAUCACCUUUCGGGAGCCAGGACAGAAGGAGUUCGUUUAUCGAGCUUGUCGAAGCUCUUGCUUCGUCGCGACGGUAUCGGCGACGAGAGCUAGAAAGUUGGUCAACGGCGGCUGCGUAGCAUUUUUGGCGACCGUCGUGGAAGUGGACCGAGUGGUUCCGAAUUUAGAUGAAUUAUCGGUGGUGCGGGAUUUUCUAGAUGUAUUUCCCGCGGAGUUACUGGGGAUGCCGCCGGAUCGGGAGAUCGAGUUCGUUUUAGACUUGGCUCCCGGGACGGCGCCGAUCUCAAAGGCCCCAUACCGCAUGGCGCCCGCAGAGUUAAGGGAACUGAGGGAUCAGUUGCAAGAUCUCCUUGACAAGGGGUUUAUGAGGCCGAGCGUGUCGCCGUGGGGAGCCCCGGUGUUGUUCGUGCGCAAGAAGGAUGGCUCGUUUCGACUCUGCAUGGAUUAUCGAGAGUUGAAUAGGGUCACGAUAAAGAAUAAGUACCCGUUGCCCCGAAUCGACGACUUAUUUGAUCAGUUACAGGGAUCACUAGUGUACUUGAAGAUAGACCUACAAUCCGGCUAUCAUCAGUUAAAGAUUAAGUCAGAGGAUGUUCAGAAGACCGCAUUUCGCACGCGGUAUGGACACUAUGAGUACACGGUUAUGCCUUUCGGGCUCGCUAAUGCCCCGGCAGCAUUCAUGGAUCUAAUGAACCGUGUGUUCAAAGUGUGCUUGGACCGAUUUGUCGUGGUCUUGAUAGACGACAUCUUGGUCUAUUCGCGGAGCGACGAGGAGCAUGUGAAGCAUUUGCGGAUAGUGCUUCAAAUCCUUCGGGAGAAGAAGCUAUUCGCAAAGUUAAAGAAAUGUGACUUCUAGCUUCGAGAGGUUGCCUUUUUGGGGCACGUGAUUUUCGAGAGCGGCAUUUCGGUUGACCCGAGGAUUGUCGAAGCAGUCGAGAAUUGGCUGUGUCCAACAAACGUUACGGAGGUCCGAAGCUUCAUAGCCUUAGCGGGCUACUAUCGACGGUUUUUGGAGGGUUUUUCGAAGAUUGUGACUCCGCUUACCCGUCUGACGUAGAAGGGCGUCAAGUCUUUUUGGAGCGACGAAAGUGACCGAAGCUUCAAUGAGUUGAAGAGAAGGUUAACGUCGGCUCCGAUACUCGCCUUACCGGUGCAGGGCGAGGACUUUGCGGUCUAUAGUGAUGCAUCCUAUCUGGGUUUGGGGUGUGUCCUGAUGCAAGGCGGGAGAGUGAUAGCUUAUGCCUCCCGUCAGUUAAAGGAUCAUGAGAAGAAUUACCCCAAUCAUGACUUGGAGUUGGCGGCGGUGAUCUUUGCGUUGAAGCUGUGGAGGCACUACCUAUAUGGUGCGCACUGCGAGAUCUAUACCGACCAUAAGAGUUUGAAAUAUUUAUUUACCCAGAAGGAGUUAAACAUGCGGCAGAGGCGGUGGUUAGAUUACGAUGUUGAUAUUCUCCACCACCCCGGCAAAGCAAAUGUGGUCGCGGAUGCGCUUAGUAGAAAGUCGGCGAAGAACUUCUCUUUUGAUGUUACCCAGCAAACACCCCUAUGGUUGGAUAUGGAGCGACUGGACCUUGAAGUAGUCGCUCCCGAGAUUCCGACUCAGUUGAUGGCACUCGUUGUUCAACCGACCUUAUUGGAGAGGAUCAAUUGCAACCUGCAGAUCCGAAUCUCCAAAAGGUGCGACGCAACAUCGAGGAAGGUCGAGGCGGCGAUUUCAGUGUGGACGCCGGUGGCGCGCUUCGGUUUCAAAACCGGUGGUGUGUGCUCGAAAGUGAAGAGCUUCGCGAGCUGAUUUUGCAGAAAGCCCACCGGUCUCCAUAUGCUGAUCACCCGGGUGGCACCAAGAUGUAUCAUGAGUUGAGAGCACUCUAUUGGUGGCCGGGGAUGAAAGUUGAUAUUGGGCGCUUCGUGGCGAAGUGUUUGAC
rnacentral:lncRNA from 1 species